CUUCGAGCUGUUACAAAGCGUCUCAUGUGAAGGAAAUGCAACUUUCGUGACCACGUCAAGCGUACUACUGAACUGUGAAGCUAACGCUCUGGAAACUAUCAUGAUCG